rnacentral:rRNA from 1 species
GAAAGUCUGACGCAGCAACGCCGCGUGCGGGACGAAGGCCUUUUAGGUCGUAAACCGCUGUAGCAGGGGAAAAAUGUCCCGUUCGACGGGAUUGAUGGUACCCUGAAAGUAAGCCUCGGCUAACUACGUGCCAGCAGCCGCGGUAAUACGUAGGAGGCAAGCGUUGUCCGGAUUUACUGGGUGUAAAGGGUCCGCAGGCGGGAAUUUAAGUCGAGGGUGAAAGCCUGCAGCUUAACUGCAGAACUGCCUUCGAUACUGAAUUUCUUGAAGACGGGAGAGGGUGACGGAAUUCCAGGUGUAGCGGUGAAAUGCUUAGAUAUCUGGAAGAACACCGGUUGCGAAGGCUGUUGCCUGGCCCGUUCUUGACGCUCAUGGACGAAAGCGUGGGGAUCAAACAGGAUUAGAUACCCUGGUAGUCCACGCCGUAAACGAUGGAUACUCGGUGUUGGCCCGCAAGGGUCGGUGCCUAAGCUAACGCAGUAAGUAUCCCA